GCGAACCCCACCUCUAGUGUUAACGCCUACCUUGACUCUGGACUAGCUUGCCUAGACUUUCGCCAACAAACUGACUAUAAGGGCCUCGACUCUAAGUACAUAAAUUGAAGAAGGGAGUUUCGAUUUGUAAGUUCAAUUAGCUCUAUCUGUUCUGUUCUCUUCUGCAACUAUACCUCUGAUCUUGCCUCUCUCUUUUCUUUAGAAAGAAACUACUAGCUUCCCUUUCUGAAUCGACAACUCAUGAAACUAGAGCGACUCUCCCCCUCGGUAUUAAACAAGAACCGGAACAGGAACAUUACCACUCACAAUUCUAGGAUUCUUUUCAUCAGGCAAGUGUAACUACUAACGGGCAAGCAACUAAGGAGCUACGGUGGCGAAGUAACCAAAAUGGACUCUAAGGGCCUAAACUCUCACUGAUGAAACUACUCUACAACUUGUGCUAUAUGACCAAUUCCAAUCUCCUCUGGCAACAACAAAAGAAAGGAAUGCGCGUGCUGGUGCUUACGCUCUAUAAGUCUGCUAUCAAAGAAUUGAAUGCGCUAGUAAGCCUUUCACUCCUCUGGCUACAAAUGCUGAUUCAAUUGGAUCUAGUUAAUGAAAGUAAGGUUGUCUUGUCUAGUCGUUGCUUGGC
rnacentral:lncRNA from 1 species